rnacentral:rRNA from 1 species
CCUACGGGGGGCUGCAGUGAGGAAUAUUGGUCAAUGGGCGCGAGCCUGAACCAGCCAAGUCGCGUGAGGGAUGAAGGUUCUAUGGAUCGUAAACCUCUUUUAUAAGGGAAUAAAGUGUGGGACGUGUCCUCUUUUGUAUGUACCUUAUGCAUAAGGAUCGGCUAACUCCGUGCCAGCCGCCGCGAGAAUACGGAGGAUCCGAGCGUUAUCCGGCUUUAUUGGGGUUAAAGGGUUCGUUGGCGGCCUUUUAAGUCAGCGGUGAAAGUCUGUGGCUCAACCAGAGAAUUGCCGUUGAAACUGGGGGGAGGGAGUAUGUGUGAGGCAGGCGGAAUGCGUGGUGUAGCGGUGAAA